rnacentral:rRNA from 1 species
GGUGGUGCAUGGUUGUCGUCAGCUCGUGUCGUGAGAUGUUGGGUUUAAGUCCCGCAACGAGCGCAACCCUUAUUAUCAGUUGCCAGCAUUCAGUUGGGCACUCUGGUGAGACUGCCGGUGACAAACCGGAGGAAGGUGGGGAUGACGUCAAAUCAUCAUGCCCCUUAUGACCUGGGCUACACACGUGCUACAAUGGACGGUACAACGAGUCGCGAAGUCGUGAGGCUAAGCUAAUCUCUUAAAGCCGUUCUCAGUUCGGAUUGUAGGCUGCAACUCGCCUACAUGAAGUUGGAAUCGCUAGUAAUCGCGGAUCAGCAUGCCGCGGUGAAUACGUUCCCGGGCCUUGUACACACCGCCCGUCACACCAUGAGAGUUUGUAACACCCAAAGCCGGUGAGAUAACCUUCGGGGGGUCAGCCGUCUAAGGUGGGACAGAUGAUUAGGGUGAAGUCGUAACAAGGUAAGCGUACGUGU